GACAGAGGAGCCAAGCGUUGUCCGGAGUAACUGGGCGUAAAGCGCACGCAGGUGGUUCUGUGCGUGGGGUGUGAAAGCUCUCGGCUUAACUGAGAGAGGCCACCUCAUACGGCAGAACUGGAGCCCUGCAGAGGUCCACGGAAUUGCCGGUGUAGUGGUGAAAUGCGUAGAGAUCGGGAGGAAGGCCGGUGGCGAAGGCGGCGCUCUGGAACGGCCCUGACACUGAGGCUCGAAAGCGUGGGGAGCAAACAGG
rnacentral:rRNA from 1 species